rnacentral:lncRNA from 1 species
CUUGAUUUAUUGAGCUAGAUAUUAAAGCUUUCUAUUUUUCAGAUUUAUCAUUUUAACAUAUUCAAGGUUUGGUUUUGUCUCUUUAUCCCGAAUCUGAUUCCCACCUAAUAUUGAUUGUGAAUAAUACUAACCCAAAAAACUAUAUAUUUUUAAUUUCGGAGAUUCCUGGUAGCUGCAAAUGAAGAGCUAAUAAAUAAAAGUUUGCAAUAGCGAACCAACAUAGAUGUAAAUUUAAACAUGAAUAUGAAGUGCAUUAUACCGAAAAUUUCCGAAAGUU